rnacentral:rRNA from 1 species
GANNGGUUUGCCUCCCGAAACCCCCGCAGCGACUCUAAACACCUGCGCGGUCCGCAUAACAUGCUGGCAACACCGUACAAUUGCUGGGUGAAGACGGCGCAAGCCUCAUUACACCAGCAGCCGCGACUCGGUCUCGGUCCACAGGUCAAANGACGGUGAUCCCUCAGGAACUUAAGAUAUGAUCGGUCGUACCUUUUGAAAAGGACGCGAAGCGCGGAACCUGCGGAAGGAUCAUUACCGAGAGACGGGGUCGAACCGGCCCCACUCUUCACCCCUGUAUACCUANCUCUGUUGCUUUGGCGGGCCNUCGGGCUCNAUCGCCCGACGUUGGUCGCGAGGCUCACGGUCCCGCCCNGCGANCGNCCGCCAAAGGCCUCCUAAACUCCGUUAUCAGUGACGUCCGAGUGAUUACNCUAAUAGCUAAAACUUUCAACAACGGAUCUCUUGGUUCUGGCAUCGAUGAAGAACGCAGCGAAAUGCGAUAAGUAAUGUGAAUUGCAGAAUUCAGUGAAUCAUCGAAUCUUUGAACGCACAUUGCGCCCUCUGGUAUUCCGGNGGGUAUGCCUGUUCGAGCGUCAUUGCAAUCCUCAAGCACCGCUUGGUAGUGGGCCUCGCCCCCGUGGCGUGCCCGAAAUCCCGUGGCGGUCCGGCGAGACUUCGAGCGUAGUAAGAUUUCAGUAUCCCGCCUCGGAAGCUUCUCGGUGGACCUGGCCAACAACAAUGCAAGUGAACAACUUCCACGAUUGACCUCGGAUCAGGUAGGGAUACCCGCUGAACUUAAGCAUAUCAAUAAGCGGAGGAAAAGAAACCAACAGGGAUUGCCUCAGUAACGGCGAGUGAAGCGGCAACAGCUCAAAUUUGAAAUCUGGCCCUUUUCCGGGUCCGAGUUGUAAUUUGGAGAGGGUGUUUCGGGCGAGGCGCCGACCUAAGUCCUUUGGAACAGGGNGUCAUAGAGGGUGAGAAUCCCGUAUGCGGUCGGUGACCGACCCCAUGUGAAACCCCUUCGACGAGUCGAGUUGUUUGGGAAUGCAGCUCUAAAUGGGUGGUAAAUUUCAUCUAAAGCUAAAUACCGGCCAGAGACCGAUAGCGCACAAGUAGAGUGAUCGAAAGAUGAAAAGCACUUUGGAAAGAGAGUUAAAAAGUACGUGAAAUUGUUGAAAGGGAAGCGCUUGCAACCAGANCUGCNUUCGGGUGAUCAACCGUCGUUCUCGGCGGUGCACUCGCCCGUUGCAGGCCAGCAUCGGUUCGGGCGGCCGGACAAAGGCCCCGGGAAUGUAGCUNCCCCCGGGGAGUCUUAUAGCCCGGGGUGCAAUGCGGCCAGCCCGGACCGAGGACCGCGCUUCGGCUAGGAUGCUGGCGUAAUGGUUGUAAGCGGCCCGUCUUGAAACACGGACCAAGGAGUCUAACAUCUAUGCGAGUGUUUGGGUGUCAAACCCNUGCGCGGAAUGAAAGUGAACGGAGGUGAGAACCCGCAAGGGCGCAUCAUCGACCGAUCCAGAUGUCUUCGGAUGGAUUUGAGUAAGAGCAUAGCUGUUGGGACCCGAAAGAUGGUGAACUAUGCCUGAAUAGGGUGAAGCCAGAGGAAACUCUGGUGGAGGCUCGCAGCGGUUCUGACGUGCAAAUCGAUCGUCAAAUUUGGGUA